rnacentral:rRNA from 1 species
UACGAAGGGGGCUAGCGUUGCUCGGAAUUACUGGGCGUAAAGGGCGCGUAGGCGGAUAUUUAAGUUAGAGGUGAAAGCCCAGGGCUCAACCCUGGAAUAGCCUUUAAUACUGGAUAUCUUGAGUUCGGGGAGAGGUGAAGUGGAACUCCGAGUGUAAGAGGUGAAAUUCGUAGAUAUUCGGAAGAACACCAGUGGCGAAGGCGACUCACUGGCCCGAUACUGACGCUGAGGCGCGAAAGCGUGGGGAGCAAACAGG